rnacentral:rRNA from 1 species
AUUGAACGCUGGCGGCAGGCUUAACACAUGCAAGUCGAGCGGAUGAGUGGAGCUUGCUCCAUGAUUCAGCGGCGGACGGGUGAGUAAUGCCUAGGAAUCUGCCUGGUAGUGGGGGACAACGUUUCGAAAGGAACGCUAAUACCGCAUACGUCCUACGGGCGAAAGCAGGGGACCUUCGGGCCUUGCGCUAUCAGCUGAGCCUAGGUAGGAUUAGCUAGUAGGUGAGGUAAAGGCUCACCUAGGCGACGAUCCGUAACUGGUCUGAGAGGAUGAUCAGUCACACUGGAACUGAGAAACGGUCCAGACUCCUACGGGAGGCAGCAGUGGGGAAUAUUGGACAAUGGGCGAAAGCCUGAUCCAGCCAUGCCGCGUGUGUGAAGAAGGUCUUCGGAUUGUAAAGCACUUUAAGUUGGGAGGAAGGGCAGUAAGUUAAUACCUCGCUGUUUUGACGUUACCAACAGAAUAAGCACCGGCUAACUUCGUGCCAGCCGCCGCCGUAAAAC